rnacentral:rRNA from 1 species
CCUACGGGGGGCUGCAGUGAGGAAUAUUGGUCAAUGGACGAGAGUCUGAACCAGCCAAGUAGCGUGAAGGAUGACUGCUCUAUGGGUUGUAAACUUCUUUUAUAUGGGAAUAAAAUGUUCCACGUGUGGGAUUUUGUAUGUACCAUAUGAAUAAGGAUCGGCUAACUCCGUGCCAGCAGCCGCGGUAAUACGGAGGUUCCGAGCGUUAUCCGGAUUUAUUGGGUUUAAAGGGAGCGUAGGUGGAUUGUUAAGUCAGUUGUGAAAGUUUGCGGCUCAACCGUAAAAUUGCGGUUGAAACUGGCAGUCUUGAGUACAGUAGAGGUGGGCGGAAUUCGUGGUGUAGCGGUGAAAUGCUUAGAUAUCACGAAGAACUCCGAUUGCGAAGGCAGUUCACUGGACUGCAACUGACACUGAGGCUCGAAAGUGUGGGUAUCAAACAGGAUUAGAUACCCUUGUAGUC